GACGAACGCUGGCGGCGUGCUUAACACAUGCAAGUCGAGCGGAAAGGCCCUGCUUUUGUGGGGUGCUCGAGUGGCGAACGGGUGAGUAACACGUGAGUAACCUGCCCUUGACUUUGGGAUAACUUCAGGAAACUGGGGCUAAUACCGGAUAGGAGCUCCUGCUGCAUGGUGGGGGUUGGAAAGUUUCGGCGGUUGGGGAUGGACUCGCGGCUUAUCAGCUUGUUGGUGGGGUAGUGGCUUACCAAGGCUUUGACGGGUAGCCGGCCUGAGAGGGUGACCGGCCACAUUGGGACUGAGAUACGGCGCAGACUCCAACGGGAGGCAGCAGUGGGGAAUAUUGCACAAUGGGCGGAAGCCUGAUGCAGCAACGCCGCGUGCGGGAUGACGGCCUGCGGGUUGUAAACCGCUUUCGCCUGUGACGAAGCGUGAGUGACGGUAAUGGGUAAAGAAGCACCGGCUAACUACGUG
rnacentral:rRNA from 1 species